UCGUCAGACCACGGAAGGGGGAGCAUCGCGGCCGCCUCCCUCUCGCCCUCUUAACCCACUGAGCCGCCGCCGCCACCGAGUGCAUCUGGCCGCCUCUUCCCGCGCCUUUCCCAGCUUGAGGCCGUCGAGGCAAGCGUAGCGUCGCCUGGCCAUGCUUCCCAUCAGCCGGGCCCUCUCCCUCCCGCAUGAAUUCCCCGGCGAAGACGUCCUGGCCCCAUGGAAGUGUGUGUUUGACCCCAUGCAUGUUGUGACCUUGUAGAAAACGGGAUGUGAGGAGUUACUGGCGGUUCCUUUGGGCUUCGUUGGACUAUUUAAGAAGGUCUUGAAGCCUCGUCCAUCAUUACCAACUCAGGACAGCUUCUAAAAGGCUUCAAAACCACCUCCACCACACCAACACCGCCCCAACACCACACCAAGAAACCAAAAAAAUAGUGAUGUAUCAGUUUCCAACAGUUUCUUAGAGACUGGACUUAGGUACUGGACUAUUACGGUUGAUAUUGAAGCUUCGCACACCAAAAGCAACUCCAGAAGACUUCCCAAAGGCUUAAAUCGCUCCCAAACAUUCUCUAGCACCUAGAAACUUAACACAAAAAAGGUAUUGAAGCCUCCAACACCAUUACCAACACAAAAAAGCUUUAAGACUAUCUCCAGUACCAAGAACUUUGAGAACUAGUGAUGUAAGGGGUUCCCAGCGAUACCUUAGGCUUCACUGGAGUACAUAGAAAGAUACUGAAGCCUCGUCUCCAAUUACCAAGACCAGAAGGGUUCCAAAAGGCUUCAGGAUAUCCAAAACUGUCCAAAAGCUUUCGGAAAUAGUGAUAAAAGGAGAUUCCACCAAUUCGUUCUGGCUUCAAUGGACUUCGGAUAUCAGAAUUGAAGCCUCUACCACCAGAAGGCUUUACCAAAAGGAUGGAACACUACAAAUGUCAUCACUAAUACCAAGAACUUUCGAAAAUAGUGAUGUAAGUAGUUUCCAGUGAUAGGUUCUGUCUUCAAAGGAAUUCGGAGAUCAGUAUUGAAGCCUCCAUCAUCAUUAGGCUUUACCAGAAGGCUUCAGCAUCUCCUAAGCCAUCUCCAGCAUCCAUUAGCUUAGAAAAAAAAGAAAUGUAAGGAGUUUCCAGUAAUAUAUUCUUGCCUCUCUAGGAUUCUGACACCGGUGUUGAAUCCUCCACCACCACCAGUAUCGCAACCACCACCAACACUACUAGGCUUCCAGUAUCCCCAACACCUCCACCUCCAACACCCAACACCAUCACCUCCACCACCUCGCCAAAUAGUGGAGUUUCUCAAAGAAGCUCAGAAGUCUUCGAAGUCUUGUUUCCACUUGUACUAGAAGACUCCACCGCUCUUCCCUUACUCCACCUACUGUACCUACUCCACCUAGCUAAUCCAAUUCAUUGAAAAGUGCUGUGGAGUUUGAUUAAGAGCUUCUGGUUACUUUUGAGGCUGUUUCAUUUGGUGUUGAAGCUUCCACCACCACCACCACCCACUAGUACCGAUAAGACAACUCCACCAUCACCUCCACUAGUAAGAACCAAACUCCUCCUCCACCACCACCACCACCAGUACUUAUGAAUCAACUCCACUUCCUCCACCACCAAUAAGGAUACACCACCACCUCCACCUCUUCAGCACCACAACACCACAACCUUGAUAAAAACAAAGAAAGUGAUGUGAGAAAUUAUCCAAAGAAGUUCAACCAUCAUCACCACCAGGACGAUUUAAACCACCAACAACCAAUACCACCGCCACUACCACUAACGUCAACACUACCACCACCAACAACCACAACCAAAGAGAGAUGACCAUAGAAGAGGAAUGUGUUAACUUCUUCUCAAGGAUGAAAAGACUCACCUCGGAGGCUUAAGGAGUGAGAUACAACAGCAAACUCAGGCCAAGAGGAAGGGAAGAGGACAAAGAGGACGCGAGGUGAAGGAGCUGUGAGGAAGAGGAAGAGGAGCGUAAGUAAAGCCCCAGAAACUUAAGAGGAGGAGGCAGUGACAAAGUAAGAGGACGUGAGGUAAAGGAGGUGUAAUCAAGAGGAAGAGGAGCGUGAGUAAAGCUUAACCACAAAUUUAAGAGGAAGAGAAAGAAAGAUAACGCCGGGAGGAAGAGGAAGAGGAAAGGGAGUGAUAUAUAUACAAGAAAUUCAAGAGGAAAGAGCAAGGAAAGAGGACUAAUAGAGCCAGACUGUGAUUAAGAGGAAGAGGAAAGUGAAAUAUAAUAACAAAUCUAAGAGGUACUCAAAGAAA